rnacentral:rRNA from 1 species
GACGAACGCUGGCGGCGUGCCUAAUACAUGCAAGUCGAACGCAGUGGGGACGGGUGAGUACCACGUGGGUAACCUCCCCAUCAGAGGGGAUAACACUUGGAAACAGGUGCUAAACCGAUACCGAUGGAUGGACCCGCGGUGCAUUAGCUAGUUGGUGAGGUAACGGCUCACCAAGGCCACGAUGCAUAGCCGACCUUAGAGGGUGACCGGCCACACUGGGCCGGAGACACGGCCCAGGGUCCUACGGGAGGCAGCAGUAGGGAAUCUUCGGCGAUGGACGAAAGUCAGACCGGGCAACGCCGCGUGGGUGAAGAAGGUUUUCGGGUCGUGAAACUCGGUUGUGAGAGAAACGGUAUCUAACCAGAAAGCCCCGGCUAACUACGUACCAGCCGCCGCGGUAAUAC